rnacentral:misc_RNA from 1 species
AACGCACAUUGCGCCCGCCAGUACUCUGGCGGGCAUGCCUGUUCGAGCGUCAUUUCAACCCUCAAGCCCCCGGCUUGGUGUUGGGGCCCUGCGGCUGCCGCAGGCCCCGAAAUGGAGUGGCGGGCUCGCGGCGAUCUCCGAGCGUAGUAGAAUCCUAUCUCGCUAGGGAGGCGCGGCGCGCUCCGGCCGUUAAAGGAACUUCUUUUAACCCAAGGUUGACCUCGGAUCAGGUAGGAAUACCCGCUGAACUUAA